rnacentral:snoRNA from 1 species
ACCUGUGUCGAAAGUGACUGUGGAGCCACCGUCUCCAGGUCAUUGAUAAAACAGGAAGAGGAAGUGUUUGCUGGAUCCUGUUCCUCACAAACCCUGAAUCUUUCACACA